UACGUAGGGGGCAAGCGUUGUCCGGAAUCAUUGGGCGUAAAGAGCGUGUAGGCGGCCAGAAAAGUCCGCUGUGAAAACUCGAGGCUCAACUUCGAGCUGUCGGUGGAAACUUUCUGGCUAGAGUCCGGAAGAGGAGAGUGGAAUUCCCGGUGUAGCGGUGAAAUGCGCAGAUAUCGGGAAGAACACCUAUGGCGAAGGCAGCUCUCUGGGACGGUACUGACGCUGAGACGCGAAAGCGUGGGGAGCGAACAGG
rnacentral:rRNA from 1 species